GUGUGAAAUACGCAUUUUUAGUUCAUGUAUUUGGUUAAAUGUAAAUGUCUAAAAACCUUAUCUACACUUCCGUUUUCUGUGAUGAGGUUCCAGGAAUGUUUCCUUUUGUGCCUCUGAUUUUGUUUUCUCAUUCGCAAAAUUUCCUGUUUCAAGGAUAAAAAAAAGAUAGAAAAUUAUUAUAUUUGUAAUUACAGUGCUGCUCCUUUGUAUGUAAUGGCAAAAAUAGAAUGUUUACUUUAGGCCGAAAGUGGAUUUCGUGCGGUGCGUGGUGAAGUUAUGGUCGGAUUAGGACAGCAAACCGAGCCUCAUUUUCGUCCGAGGUGUGAACAGUGAGCAGUGAACAUGACACACAGAGGCAAGCAAGGCAUAGUGACCGUGAGUGUGGUGUCAGUAAUGGCCAUAGCUACAUAAUUACUCAAGUGUUCCGCUGUGGUCACGUGAUCACCGUGCCGUUUCCCUGCCAUCGGCCUCGCCGUCGGUCUCGUCUUCCUUCCAGCCCGCGCCGCCUCCACCUCCUUGCGAUAAAGGUGAGGGUUGAUGGACAGAAGCAGCAGCCGCAACAGACGGAGGGCUCGGGUUUUUACGUCCGGAUUUCCGUAAUGAAUCAGCGACAAGACGAUGCCUUCUAACGGAGGACUUUGGCUUUGGCGUUUGGGAACUGGCACAGGUGUACCACGGCGACCAUAAAAAAAAAUAAAAAGAACCAGGUCCGCCUGUGUCGGCAAGGCUGCCACGGACCGUCCACUCAAGGGCGCGAUCCCACUGCUGCUCCACACGGGUGCUUUUGGCUGCUGGGUUUCCCCCUGGCCCGAUUCACACCUCCUUAGGCAACCUGGACGCCCCUAACUCCCCAGGAGCUGCCAUAUUGAUGCUGAGCUCAAUGCGGACGCCCAGUCAACAUGGGGAGUCCCGCAGCAGUCACCCUCGCCUCAAGCCGUCCGCUGGCCCAAGCCUCCGUGUCGCCGGAUUACAGAGCUGCGCCACCAGCCCCGGCUUGCCUCUUCCUCCUCCUUUACAGUCCUGCAUAUUUCUUGCCCUCCCACUUCUCUCACUCCAGAUUACUUUGUGAAAUUUACAACAAGUAGCCUCUUAAGGAAUUAACGAACAGGUAUGUUGUUGUUCGUUCUUCCUUUGUGCUGUUCCUUCUUCUCCUCCUCCUGCUCCUGAUUUUUACUACUACUACUACUACUACUACUACUACUACUACUACUACUACUACUACUACUACUACUACUACUACUACUGCUACUGCUGCUACUACUACUACUACUACUACUACUACUACUACUACUACUACUACUACUACUACUACUACUACUACUACUACUACUACUAUUUAUGCCCUUUAUCAAUCAUGCGCUGAAUUUGUAGCUUGUUAGACUCUGGUUGGACUUGUUUACACUCAUUAGUGAGGAGGCAUUGAUGUUUGUGGUGGUUGUGGUGCGCCCCCUUCCCUGUAAAGGCCUCGUGUGGGGGGAAAGGGUUAAAGGCAGUGUUGUUUGUGUCCUUCCCGUCUUGUCUUAAUUGUCCUGUUAAUUGUAGCUUUGUUUUAUCCGCGUUUGUUUGUGUUUGUGUGUGUCUCUGUGUGUGUGAGAGAGAGAGAGAGAGAGAGAGAGAGAGAGAGAGAGAGAGAGAGAGAGAGAGAGAGAGAGAAUGAUGUUAGUGUUCUCAGUGUGUUGUUAAAUGUGUAAUGAGAGAGAUUUUAACUUCUUGUGAAAGUUAAGGAGGAGAAAAAGAUACAAAACGCUGAGCAAACUUGAUAACAGCAAUGUUUUGGUUCUUUUUAUUACUUGUGCUAUUUUUUACCUUGUUUUAUGUUUUUAAGAUAAUUGUUGGAUAUUGUCUUCAAAUUAACUUGUUUUUGCGUAAGUUAUAAAAAAAUAAGAAGGAAAAAAAAGGUUAAUAAUAUUACACUACUUCUUGGAGAGAGAGAGAGAGAGAGAGAGAGAGAGAGAGAGAGAGAGAGAGAGAGAGAGAGAGAGAGAGAGAGAGAGAGAGAGAUUACAAUAAUUUUCAGCUUCUCGUGUGCCUCAUCAGAAGUCUCUUUUUUUAGUUUAUCGAAGCGGUGUUGUGUUCUGCUGUUCGAUUAAGACUCAUUUACGUACUUCAUUUUAUUGUAUUCAGGUGUGUCAGGUUAGGUUAGGUUUGGUUAGGUUAGAAUUAGGUCACCUUAGGGUUGAUUAGGUUAGGUUAGGUUUGAUUAGGUUAUUGUAGGUUACGUUAGGUUUAGUUUUUGUAAGUUCGGUUAAGUCAAGUUUAGUUAGGUUAGAUUAGGUUGCCUUAGUUUAGGUGAUGUGACAUGAAGUAAUGUUUCGUUAUGCAAUGUUUGGUUAAGUUAGGCUCAGUUACCUUAAAAAAGAUUAUGCCUCGGCCAGGUUAGGUUAGGUUAGACAUAUCAGGUUCAAGUAGACCCUGCAUGCAAGUAGACCCUGCAUGGCUGUCAAUUCUUACUUCUGUGUGUUUUUUUUUUUUUUUAUUAGCACUGUGUUUCCUUCUUUAGUUUAUCUGCUUAUCAAUGUGUGUGUGUGUGUGUGUGUGUGUGUGUGUGUGUGUGUGUGUGUGUCCAUAUCUUAGCUUACUAUCUUGGUCUUUCUCCUCCUGUUGAAGGUAAACAAAUGAAUAUAAAAACACACGUAAAUGAAAACACAAAAAUACAAGGAAUACCUGAGUAAUCAGAGAAUAAAAAUUGAAGAAGCCAGGUAAGGAAA